rnacentral:rRNA from 1 species
ACGCUGGCGGCAGGCCUAACACAUGCAAGUCGAGCGCUUCCCUUCGGGGAGGAGCGGCGGACGGGUUAGUAACGCGUGGGAACGUACCCUUUUCUGCGGGAUAGCCAUUGGAAACGAUGAGUAAUACCGCAUACGCCCUUCGGGGGAAAGAUUUAUCGGAGAAGGAUCGGCCCGCGUUAGAUUAGAUAGUUGGUGGGGUAAUGGCCUACCAAGUCUACGAUCUAUAGCUGGUUUGAGAGGAUGAUCAGCAACACUGGGACUGAGACACGGCCCAGACUCCUACGGGAGGCAGCAGUGGGGAAUCUUAGACAAUGGGCGCAAGCCUGAUCUAGCCAUGCCGCGUGAGUGAUGAAGGCCUUAGGGUCGUAAAGCUCUUUCGCCUGUGAAGAUAAUGACUGUAGCAGGUAAAGAAACCCCGGCUAACUCCGUGCCAGCAGCCGCGGUAAUACGGAGGGGGUUAGCGUUGUUCGGAAUUACUGGGCGUAAAGCGCACGUAGGCGGAUUAUUAAGUGAGGGGUGAAAUCCCAGGGCUCAACCCUGGAACUGCCUCUCAUACUGGUAGUCUUGAGUUCGAGAGAGGUGAGUGGAAUUCCGAGUGUAGAGGUGAAAUUCGUAGAUAUUCGGAGGAACACCAGUGGCGAAGGCGGCUCACUGGCUCGAUACUGACGCUGAGGUGCGAAAGUGUGGGGAGCAAACAGGAUUAGAUACCCUGGUAGUCCACACCGUAAACGAUGAAUGCCAGACGUCGGGUAGCAUGCUAUUCGGUGUCACACCUAACGGAUUAAGCAU